rnacentral:rRNA from 1 species
AAGACUGGGAUAACUUCGGGAAACCGGAGCUAAUACCGGAUAAUAUUUUGAACCGCAUGGUUCAAAAGUGAAAGACGGUCUUGCUGUCACUUAUAGAUGGAUCCGCGCUGCAUUAGCUAGUUGGUAAGGUAACGGCUUACCAAGGCAACGAUGCAUAGCCGACCUGAGAGGGUGAUCGGCCACACUGGAACUGAGACACGGUCCAGACUCCUACGGGAGGCAGCAGUAGGGAAUCUUCUGCAAUGGGCGAAAGCCUGACGGAGCAACGCCGCGUGAGUGAUGAAGGUCUUCGGAUCGUAAAACUCUGUUAUUAGGGAAGAACAUAUGUGUAAGUAACUGUGCACAUCUUGACGGUACCUAAUCAGAAAGCCACGGCUAACUACGUGCCAGCAGCCGCGGUAAUACGUAGGUGGCAAGCGUUAUCCGGAAUUAUUGGGCGUAAAGCGCGCGUAGGCGGUUUUUUAAGUCUGAUGUGAAAGCCCACGGCUCAACCGUGGAGGGUCAUUGGAAACUGGAAGACUUGAGUGCAGAAGAGGAAAGUGGAAU